GACGAACGCUGGCGGCGUGCUUAACACAUGCAAGUCGAACGGAAAGGCCCUGCUUUUGUGGGGUGCUCGAGUGGCGAACGGGUGAGUAACACGUGAGUAACCUGCCCUUGACUUUGGGAUAACUUCAGGAAACUGGGGCUAAUACCGGAUAGGAGCUCCUGCUGCAUGGUGGGGGUUGGAAAGUUUCGGCGGUUGGGGAUGGACUCGCGGCUUAUCAGCUUGUUGGUGGGGUAGUGGCUUACCAAGGCUUUGACGGGUAGCCGGCCUGAGAGGGUGACCGGCCACAUUGGGACUGAGAUACGGCCCAGACUCCUACGGGAGGCAGCAGUGGGGAAUAUGGCACAAUGGGCGGAAGCCUGAUGCAGCAACGCCGCGUGCGGGAGGACGGCCUUCGGGUUGUAAACCGCUUUCGCCUGGGACGAAGCGUGAGGGACGGUAAUGGGUAAAGAAGCACCGGCUAACUACGU
rnacentral:rRNA from 1 species